CCUACGGGAGGCAGCAGUAGGGAAUCUUCCACAAUGGGCGAAAGCCUGAUGGAGCAACGCCGCGUGGGUGAAGAAGGUCUUCGGAUCGUAAAACCCUGUUGUUAGAGAAGAAAGUGCGUGAGAGUAACUGUUCACGUUUCGACGGUAUCUAACCAGAAAGCCACGGCUAACUACGUGCCAGCAGCCGCGGUAAUACGUAGGUGGCAAGCGUUAUCCGGAUUUAUUGGGCGUAAAGGGAACGCAGGCGGUCUGUUAAGUCUGAUGGGAAAGCCUUCGGCUUAACCGGGGUAGUGCAUUGGAGACUGGGAGACUUGAGUGCAGAAGAGGGGAGUGGAACUCCAUGUGUAGCGGUGAAAUGCGUAGAGAUAUGGAAGAACACCAGUGGCGAAAGCGGCUCUCUGGUCUGUAACUGACGCUGAGGUUCGAAAGCGUGGGUAGCAAACAGGAUUAGAUACCCCUGUAGUC
rnacentral:rRNA from 1 species